rnacentral:rRNA from 1 species
CCUACGGGUGGCAGCAGUCGAGAAUCAUUCGCAAUGGGGGCAACCCUGAUGGUGCAACGCCGCGUGGAGGAAUGAAGGUCUUCGGAUUGUAAACCCCUGUCAUGUGGGAGCGAAGUAAAAGGUUAGUACCGCAAGAGGAACGGACGGCUAACUCUGUGCCAGCAGCCGCGGUAAUACAGUGGGCUCAAGCGUUGGUCGGAAUCACUGGGCGUAAAGCGUGCGUAGGCUGUUUCGUAAGUCGUGUGUGAAAGGCGCGGGCUCAACCCGCGGACGGCACAUGAUACUGACAGACUAGAGUAAUGGAGGGGGAACCGGAAUUCUAGGUGUAGCAGUGAAAUGCGUAGAUAUCGAGAGGAACACUCGUGGCGAAGGCGGGUACCUGGACAUUAACUGACGCUGAGGCACGAAGGCCAGGGGAGCGAAAGGGAUUAGAUACCCGAGUAGUC